rnacentral:rRNA from 1 species
UGGCUCAGGAUGAACGCUAGUGACAGGCUUAACACAUGCAAGUCGAGGGGCAGCGGGGAGAGAAGCUUGCUUUUCUCCGCCGGCGACCGGCGCACGGGUGAGUAACACGUAUGCAACCUGCCCGUAGCAGGGGGAUAAGCGGAAGAAAUUCCGUCUAAUACCGCGUAAUAUCCUUGGGAGACAUCUCCCGAGGAUCAAAGGAAGUAAUUCCGGCUACGGAUGGGCAUGCGGCGCAUUAGCUAGUCGGCGGGGUAACGGCCCACCGAGGCGACGAUGCGUAGGGGUUCUGAGAGGAAGGUCCCCCACACUGGUACUGAGACACGGACCAGACUCCUACGGGAGGCAGCAGUGAGGAAUAUUGGUCAAUGGGCUGAGGCCUGAACCAGCCAAGUCGCGUGAGGGAAGACGGUCCUAUGGAUUGUAAACCUCUUUUGCCGGGGAGCAAUAGAGCUACGAGUAGCAUAGUGAGAGUACCCGGAGAAAAAGCAUCGGCUAACUCCGUGCCAGCAGCCGCGGUAAUACGGAGGAUGCGAGCGUUAUCCGGAUUUAUUGGGUUUAAAGGGUGCGUAGGCCGACUGUCAAGUCAGUGGUAAAAUUGAGAGGCUCAACCUCUUCGAGCCAUUGAAACUGGCGGUCUAGAGUGGGCGAGAAGUAUGCGGAAUGCGAGGUGUAGCGGUGAAAUGCAUAGAUAUCACGCAGAACUCCGAUUGCGAAGGCAGCAUACCGGCGCCCAACUGACGCUGAGGCACGAAAGCGUGGGUAUCGAACAGGAUUAGAUACCCUGGUAGUCCACGCAGUAAACGAUGAAUACUAAUUGUCCGGCACGAAAGAGUGCUGGGUGAUACAGCGAAAGCGUUAAGUAUUCCACCUGGGGAGUACGCCGGCAACGGUGAAACUCAAAGGAAUUGACGGGGGCCCGCACAAGCGGAGGAACAUGUGGUUUAAUUCGAUGAUACGCGAGGAACCUUACCCGGGCUCAAACGCAGUCGGACGGCGGAUGAAAGUUCGCUUUCCUUUGGGACUGACUGCGAGGUGCUGCAUGGUUGUCGUCAGCUCGUGCCGUGAGGUGUCGGCUUAAGUGCCAUAACGAGCGCAACCCCCAUCGACAGUUGCUAACAGGUGAAGCUGAGGACUCUGUCGAGACUGCCGGCGCAAGCUGAGAGGAAGGCGGGGAUGACGUCAAAUCAGCACGGCCCUUACGUCCGGGGCGACACACGUGUUACAAUGGCAGGUACAGCGGGAAGCCAUAUGGCGACAUAGAGCAAAACCCGA